rnacentral:rRNA from 1 species
CUUUGGUGGCGACCGGCGCACGGGUGCGUAACGCGUAUGUAACCUACCUAUAACAGGGGCAUAACACUGAGAAAUUGGUACUAAUUCCCCAUAAUAUUCGGAGAGGCAUCUCUCCGGGUUGAAAACUCCGGUGGUUAUAGAUGGACAUGCGUUGUAUUAGCUAGUUGGUGAGGUAACGGCUCACCAAGGCAACGAUACAUAGGGGGACUGAGAGGUUAACCCCCCACCACUGGUACUGAGACACGGACCAGACUCCUACGGGAGGCAGCAUG